rnacentral:rRNA from 1 species
GACAGAGGAUGCAAGCGUUAUCCGGAAUGAUUGGGCGUAAAGCGUCUGUAGGUGGCUUUUUAAGUCCGCCGUCAAAUCCCAGGGCUCAACCCUGGACAGGCGGUGGAAACUACCAAGCUGGAGUACGGUAGGGGCAGAGGGAAUUUCCGGUGGAGCGGUGAAAUGCGUAGAGAUCCGGAGGAACACCAAAGGCGAAGGCAGUGUCCUGGGGAGUACCUGACGCUGCAGGUGCGAAAGCCAGGGGAGCGAACGGG